rnacentral:lncRNA from 1 species
AUUUAUUUAUUUAGCACACUUCUAAAUUUACUUUGGAAAGCAAAGCAUAAAAGUAUUCCCAAUACUAUUAUUUCCAGAUAGGACUAUAAGAUCAUUCAUUCAUAAAAUAUGCUCAUUCUAUUUAAUGUUUAUUUUUAUGAUGUUGUAGUAUUAAUGAAAAUAAUGUAACCUUCCAAAACAUUAUGAACUUAUGUGCUCUGUAAAAUAUGUGCUCUUAUUGCUCUGUUAAAUUGUCAUUAAUUUUUAGAUAAACACUUUUGUCCUAAAGCCAUUAUAUUUUCUUACCAUCAUAGAAGAUAUCUAGAAGAAUAGCUUUUUAAAGACUAAAAAUUACUUUAAAAUGUAUUUUUCUUCAGUUUUCUUGGA